AUGAUGCUGAUCAUGCCGUCCACGCCGACGUCGCCAUUGGGCGGAGUCAGUUGGCCGGGGCCGCCUCCGCCCAUGUAGCCGGGGACGGCAAAGGGGUAGGCGCAGAGCUCCGGGCACUGCUUGCCGGAGUUCCCAACCCAGGCGUAGGGUAGCGUGUAGCCGACUUUGGAGGGGAAGGUGAAGUAGUGGAAGCCGCAGACGGCGCGGCAGAAGUCCUCCAUGGUGACGUCCUCCGCCGUGAGGAUCAGGUAGAUCCCGUUGCGGUGGUCGACGGGGAAGGGCUUUGCGUGGACGGCGGUGGCGAUGACGUCCUGCACGGAUAGGCGCGUGAGGUGCGUGCCGUGGGAGUAGUGGAGGUCGGCGUACUCGCCGGCGAUGGAGACGGAACGGGAGAUGUUGGCGCCGGUCUGGUCAGUGUAGAGGGAGACGGUUUGCCACCAGUCGGAGACGGAGGGAGAGGGGGAGACGCGGCGGUCGGAGGCGGAGAUGGAGAGGAGGAAGUCCUUGAUGAGAAGCUUCUGCGAUUGGGGCCACUUGCCGUACCAAAUGAGGUAGAUGUUGAUCGGGGAAGACAACACCGGCCCCAUGUGGUAUUUGAGCUUCACGAACU
rnacentral:lncRNA from 1 species